rnacentral:tRNA from 1 species
CGAGGCGUAGCACAUUUGACUCAUGCGGUCGCAGGUUCAACUCCUGCCGCCUUGGCCA